UACGUAGGGUGCAAGCGUUGUCCGGAAUUAUUGGGCGUAAAGAGCGUGUAGGCGGCCCGGUUAGUCCGCUGUGAAAGUCCAGGGCUCAACCCUGGAAUGCCGGUGGAUACUGUCGGGCUAGAGUCCGGAAGGGGCGGAGUGGAAUUCCUGGUGUAGCGGUGAAAUGCGCAGAUAUCAGGAGGAACACCAGUGGCGAAGGCGGCUCACUGGACGCGUAUUGACGCUGAGGUACGAAAGCGUGGGGAGCAAACAGG
rnacentral:rRNA from 1 species